UUCUGAUAUAUUCAAGCGCUUCAAGUUAAUCGAUCUGUGGCUGGGGAACAACAACAUCAAAAAGUUACCUGAAGACUUGUUUGCUGAGCAGGAUAAGCUUAGAUAUCUGCGAUUGAGCGGCAAUCAGCUAGAAAAGCUACCACGCAACAUUUUUAUUGAUUUGUCAGCCUUGGAA